ACGGAAGGCAGCAGUGGGGAAUAUUGGGCAAUGGGCGAAAGCCUGACCCAGCGACGCCGCGUGAGGGAAGAAGGUCUUCGGAUUGUAAACCUUUUUUAUUGGGGAAGAAGCAAGUGACGGUACCCGAUGAAUAAGCCACGGCUAACUACGUGCCAGCAGCCGCGGUAAUACGUAGGUGGCAAGCGUUAUCCGGAUUUACUGGGUGUAAAGGGUGUGUAGGCGGGUCAGCAAGUCAGAUGUGAAAAUUAUGGGCUCAACUCAUAACCUGCAUUUGAAACUGUUGAUCUUGAGUGUCGGAGGGGUAAACGGAAUUCCUGGUGUAGCGGUGAAAUGCGUAGAUAUUAGGAGGAACACCAGUGGCGAAGGCUGUCUACUGGACGAUAACUGACGCUGAGGCGCGAAAGCGUGGGGAGCAAACAGGAUUAGAUACCCUGGUA
rnacentral:rRNA from 1 species